GAACCAUGAGUGUUGUGGCUGUCAUGUGCUGGUGGUGACAAAUGGAAUUUUUGAUGUGAUGAAAGCUUUGCUAUGUAUUCCUGGAACCCUCCUGCUCUGUCUUCUGCAUUCUGCAGCUGGGUCCGAGUGACAAUUCCGUGCUUUGAAAGAUCUCUGGACUCAAGAGCAAUCUGGGCUUAACUCCUGGCUUCAUUUCUAACUGUAAACCAAAGCUCACUGAACCUCAGUUUCCCCAACUAUAAAAUAAGGGGGUGGGGAGGAAACAUUGUAAUCCCUACAAAAGACACAACGCUAUGUGACUUUAACAGACACGAGCAUGGACCCAAUCACGUCAUUUCAUUUUCUCCUUUCGAUAUCCAGUAAGCAUCCGCCGAGCACAGAGUAUCAAGUUGUCACCUCAGGGGCACCCCCCAUCAGUGGCAUGGCUGGAUAUGGAGAAAAUGAAGCUCACUGAAAAUGGGACCUGCCUAGGAAACAGUGGAUUCAACCUUGGAGAAACAAAACAUCAUGUCGCAAGAAUAAUUUCAAGAGCAGCAGCGGAGACUUUUUGGAUGCCAGAGGCUGCACGAAAAGGCUUU
rnacentral:lncRNA from 1 species